CGGCGGACGGGUGAGUAACGCGUGGGCAACCUGCCUUACACAGGGGGAUAACAGUUAGAAAUGACUGCUAAUACCGCAUAAGACCGCAGUACCGCAUGGUACAGCGGUAAAAACUCCGGUGGUGUAAGAUGGGCCCGCGUCUGAUUAGGUAGUUGGUGGGGUAACGGCCCACCAAGCCGACGAUCAGUAGCCGACCUGAGAGGGUGACCGGCCACAUUGGGACUGAGACACGGCCCAGACUCCUACGGGAGGCAGCAG
rnacentral:rRNA from 1 species